CGGCUUGCACGAAGCCAGUUUUCAGAUCAAAUGUUUAUAUUUUGUUUAAUAAUUAAAUUGGAGAGAACAAUGGAGAAACAUUUCAGUGACACUCAUUGUAGCUGUGUGAAUAAUGAAUAUUCAAUUAAAAAGUACUGGUUAAGAAGUCCUAUUGACUUCGAAUAAUAAGCCUUAUUAAACUAAUGAUCAGUUUUCUAGUUAAUCUUGUGAGCAAAUCUUACUAAAGCAGUUAGUAAACGACUUCGCUCGACAAAUAUUAUCAUUUUCAUUUUGCGCACUUGAAUUUCAUAUAAUAAACAUUUAGAACAGAUAAAGAUGUUCAUAUUUAAGACAAAUAAAAAAAUGAGGUUAAAGAAGUGUGGCUUUCCCACCUUUGUGUUCGGUAAAUAUCAUUUCGCGAGUUUCCAUGUUCGAAUCCAAGUUUUGGGAAAAUAUAUAAAUUAAAAAGAAACACCGAAUUCUGGCAAUGACUCCACCUACUUUUAUUUCAGGUACCGUGCAUGGCGUGAAGUUGACAGCUAUCCUGGUGACUGAUCACUAAUACGGUUACAAAACACACAGAGGGCAUGUCAAUUUUGUCUGCAUUUUUCUCCAUUUCGCAACGUAUUUCGCAAAAUUUAGG